rnacentral:lncRNA from 1 species
GUUUGGCUUGUUGUUAUGAACAUUGUUCGUUUUGGCCAGUGUGAAGGUUUUUGAGCAUGUGUAAUGGCAUGAAUGCGUUAAGCUGUUGUUUUAGUGUUCUUUUGAUGAGUUUGGCUUGUUGUUAUGAAAAGUGUUUGUUCUGGCGAGUUUGAACGUUUUUGAGCAUGUGUAAUGGCAUGAAUGCGUUAAGCUGUUGUUUUAGUGUUCUUUUGAUGAGUUUGACUGGUUGUUAUGAAAAGUGUUUGUUUUGGCGAGUUUGAACGUUUUUGAGCAUGUGUAAUGGCAUGAAUGCGUUAAGCUGUUGUUUUAAUGUUCGUUUGAUGAGUUUGGCUUGUUGUUAUGAACAUUGUUCGUUUUGGCCAGUUUGAAGGUUUUUGAGCAUGUGUAAUGGUAUGAAUGCGUUAAGCUGUUGUUUUAGUUUUCUUUUGAUGAGUUUGGCUUGUUGUUAUGAACAUUGUUCGUUUUGGCCAGUUUGAAGGUUUUUGAGCAUGUGUAAUGGCAUGAAUGUGUUGAAUUAGUAAUCCCUUGUGUUAAGCCGUUGUUUUAGUGUUCUUUUGAUGAGUUUGGCUUGUUGUUAUGAAAAGUGUUUGUUUUGGCGAGUUUGAACGUUUUUGAGCAUGUGUAAUGGCAUGAAUGCGUUAAGCUGUUGUUUUAGUGUUCUUUUGAUGAGUUUGGCUUGUUGUUAUGAACAUUGUUCGUUUUGCACAGUUUGAAGGUUUUUUAGCAUGUGUAAUGGCAUGAAUGCGUUAAGCUGUUGUUUUAGUGUUCUUUUGAUGAGUUUGGCUUGUUGUUAUGAACAUUGUUCGUUUUGGCCAGUUUGAAGGUUUUUUAGCAUGUGUAAUGGCAUGAAUGCGUUAAGCUGUUGUUUUAGUGUUCUUUUGAUGAGUUUGGCUUGUUGUUAUGAAAAGUGUUUGUUUUGGCGAGUUUGAACGUUUUUGAGCAUGUGUAAUGGCAUGAAUGCGUUAAUCUGUUGUUUUAGUGUUCUUUUGAUGAGUUUGGCUUGUUGUUAUGAACAUUGUUCGUUUUGGCCAGUUUGAAGGUUUUUGAGCAUGUGUAAUGGCAUGAAUGCGUUAAGCUGUUGUUUUAGUGUUCUUUUGAUGAGUUUGGCUUGUUGUUAUGAACAUUGUUCGUUUUGGUCAGUUUGAAGGUUUUUGAGCAUGUGUAAUGGCAUGAAUGCGUUAAGCUGUUGUUUUAGUGUUCUUUUGAUGAGUUUGGCUUGUUGUUAUGAACAUUGUUCGUUUUGGCCAGUUUGAAUGUUUCUUAGCAUGUGUAAUGGCAUGAAUGCGUUAAGCUGUUGUUUUAGUGUUCUUUUGAUGAGUUUGGCUUGUUGUUAUGAACAUUGUUCGUUCUGGCCAGUUUGAAGGUUUUUGAGCAUGUGUAAUGGCAUGAAUGCGUUAAGCUGUUGUUUUAGUGUUCUUUUGAUGAGUUUGGCUUGUUGUUAUGAACAUUGUUCGUUUUGUACAGUUUGAAGGUUUUUUAGCAUGUGUAAUGGCAUGAAUGCGUUAAGCUGUUGUUUUAGUGUUCUUUUGAUGAGUUUGGCUUGUUGUUAUGAACAUUGUUCGUUUUGGCCAGUUUGAACGUUUUUGAGCAUGUGUAAUCGCAUGAAUGUGUUGAAUUAAUAAUCCCUUGUGUCAAGCUGUUGUUUUAGUGUUCUUUUGAUGAGUUUGGCUUGUUGUUAUGAAAAGUGUUUGUUUUGGCGAGUUUGAACGUUUUUGAGCAUGUGUAAUGGCAUGAAUGCGUUAAGCUGUUGUUUUAGUGUUCUUUUGAUGAGUUUGGCUUGUUGUUAUGAACAUUGUUCGUUUUGGCCAGUUUGAAGGUUUUUUAGCAUGUGUAAUGGCAUGAAUGUGUUUAAUUAGUAAUCCCCUGUGUUAAGCCGUUGUGUUAGUGUUCUUUUAAUGAGUUUGGAUUGUUGUUAUGAAAAGUGUUUGUUUUGGCGAGUUUGAACGUUUUUGAGCAUGUGUAAUGGCAUGAAUGCGUUAAGCUGUUGUUUAAGUGUUUGUUUGAUGAGUUUGGCUUGUUGUUAUGAACAUUGUUCGUUUUGGCCAGUUUGAAGGUUUUUGAGCAUGUGUAAUGGCAUGAAUGCGUUAAGCUGUUGUUUUAGUGUUCUUUUGAUUAGUUUGGCUUGUUGUUAUGAAAAGUGUUUGUUUUGGCGAGUUUGAACGUUUUUGAGCAUGUGUAAUGGCAUGAAUGCGUUAAGCUGUUGUUUUAGUGUUCUUUUGAUGAGUUUGGCUUGUUGUUAUGAACAUUGUUCGUUUUGGCCAGUUUGAAGGUUUUUGAGCAUGUGUAAUGGCAUGAAUGCGUUAAGCUGUUGUUUUAGUGUUCUUUUGAUGAGUUUGGCUUGUUGUUAUGAAAAGUGUUUGUUCUGGCGAGUUUGAACGUUUUUGAGCAUGUGUAAUGGCAUGAAUGCGUUAAGCUGUUGUCUUAGUGUUCUUUUGACUCCGCCAGAACCCACCUCGGCAUUUAACACCAAGGAGCCAACUUUGAGAGAAGUUUAGGAGGUUGUCAAGGCAGCUAGGUCCAAGUCAGCACCAGGCCCCAGUGGAGUGCCAUAUGUGGUCUACAAGAGAUGCCCCAGACUCUUGAAGCGACUAUGGUCAAUCCUCUGGGUCAUCUGGAGAAGGGGGAAGGUGGCCCAGCAGUGGAGACAUGCAGAGGGGGUCUGGAUUCCAAAGGAGGAGAGCUCAACCACCAUCGAGCAAUUCAGGAUCAUCUCACUCCUCAGCGUCGAGGGCAAGAUUUUCUUAAGCAUCGUUGCCCGGCGCUUGAUGGAGUUCCUCCUGAGGAACACUUACAUCGACACCUCUGUGCAGAAGGGAGGAGUCCCAAAGGUCCCAGGAUGCAUCGAGCAUACAGGAGUUGUCACCCAGCUGAUCCGGGAAGCAAGAGAAGGCAGAGGAGAUCUGGCAGUCCUUUGGCUCGACCUUGCCAACGCCUACGGGUCCAUGCCACACAAGCUGGUGGAAAUCUCGCUCGACCGACACCAUGUUCCAGGCAAGAUCAAGGACCUCAUACUGGACUACUACAGCUGCUUCAGUUUGAGAGUCACUUCCGGAACAGUAACAUCUGCAUUCCAUCGGCUUGAGAAGGGCAUUAUCACAGGAUGCACCAUUUCUGUGGUACUGUUUUCCUUGGCCAUGAAUAUGCUGGUGAAGUCAGCAGAGGUGGAGUGCAGAGGACCACUCACCAACUCAGGUACGCGACAGCCCCCCAUCAGAGCAUUUAUGGAUGAUCUGACGGUGACUACAACAUCUGUCCCGGGCUGUAGAUGGAUCCUCCAAGGCCUGGAACAUCUCGUCAGCUGGGCCCGGAUGAACUUCAAGCCAGCCAAAUCCAGGUCCCUGGUGGUGAGAAAGGGGAAGGUCGCAGAGAAGUUUCGCUUCUCAAUAGGAGAUACCCUGAUUCCAUCUGUGGGUGAAAAGCCAGUUAAGAGCCUGGGCAAGAUCUACGACUGCACCUUGAAGGACACCACAGCACUCCAAGCAACAUCAGAGGAGUUGGGAACCUGGCUGACGGCAGUGGAUAAGUCGGGGCUACCAGGCAAGUUCAAAGCCUGGAUUUACCAACAUGGCAUCCUACCUCGACUUCUCUGGCCACUGCUGGUUUAUAAUGUGCCUGUGACCACCGUCGAGUGCUUCGAGAGGAAGGUCAGCUCUUUCUUGCGGAAGUGGCUGGGCCUACCACGAAGCCUCAGCAGCAUCGCAUUGUACGGGAAGAGCAACAAACUUAACCUACCCUUCAGCAGUCUGACGGAGGAGUUUAUGGUUACCCGUGCAAGAGAGGUGCUGCUGUAUAGGGACUCAAGUGACAUCAAAGUCUCCUCGGCAGGUGUAGAAGUGAGGACCGGCAGGAAGUGGUGUGCUCAAGAGGCAGUCGAUCAGGCUGAGUCCCGCUUGCGGCACAGUGAGCUGGUGGGAACGGUGGCAUCCGGACGGGCAGGACUUGGGAGCAACCCGAGACCUUCAUAUAACAAGGCCAAGGGGAAGGAAAGGCGUCAGCUGAUCCAGGAGGAGGUCCGAGCAGGGGUGGAGGAAGCCCGCUGCAGCAAGACAGUGGGGAUGCGGCAGCAGGGGGCGUGGACCCGUUGGGAGGAGGCAGCUGCCCGGAAGGUCUCGUGGUCAGAGCUAUGGCGCUCUGAGCCUCACCGGAUCAAGUUCCUCAUUCAGUCGGUCUACGACGUCCUCCCAAGCCCAUCCAACCUCCACCGCUGGGGCUUGGCUGAGAACCCACUGUGCCCUCUCUGCCAAAGAGCAGGAUCACUGGAACACAUCUUGAGCUGCUGCCCAACAGCACUGGGAGAGGGGCGCUACCGCUGGCGCCAUGACCAAGUGCUACGGGUCAUUGCGGAGGCCAUCAACACAGGCAUCUCCACCAGCAAACACACACAACCAUCAAGGCAGACCAUCGCCUUCGUUAAGGCUGGGGAGAAGCCGCAGCAGCUCAGGAGGCAAGCAGGGGGGCUGCUGGCAACAGCCCGUGACUGGCAGCUGAAAGUCGACCUAGGGAGACAGCUCAAAUUCCCGGAGAACAUCGCAGUGACCACGCUCAGGCCAGACAUGGUCCUGGUGUCUGAAACAACAAGGCAAGUGGUCCUGCUGGAGUUGACUGUUCCCUGGGAAGACAGGAUGGAGGAGGCCUUUGAGAGAAAGAAAGCCAAGUAUGAGGAGCUGGCAAGUGAAUGCCGAAGCAGGGGAUGGAGGACCCGGUGCAACCCCAUCGAGGUCGGAUGCAGAGGAUUCGCUGGCCAGUCCCUCAUCAGGGCUCUCAAGAUGCUGGGAAUGGGGGGACUGCACAACAGGCGAGCCAUUAAGAACAUCUGUGACGCAGCAGAGAAGGCGUCCAGAUGGCUGUGGAUCAAGCGGGGUGAUCCGUGGACACAUGCUCUUAAGACACAAGCCGGGACUUGAUCACCCCGGCUGGGUCCCCUGGGCGAGGGUGUCUGUUGCAAGACCCGAAACACCCAGUGAACCCAGGUGCCAACACUGAUGAUGUGUCUUAAGUUGCACCAUAAGUGUAUUUCAGAACUAGUUGAUCUGGCCAUGCCAGUGACCUCCGGGAAUAGGCCGGAUGACGACCAUGAACAGUAUGGUGACUGCUGGAGAGUCAGCUGACAACUGGAAAGACAGUAACCGGGGCAGGGAGGGCCAGCAACCCAAACUGCAGCUCCUGUGAGGGAGCACCCACAAGCACGCUACGAAAAGCCCUGACUAAGUAUACCCCCAGGGGUGCCCGAGAGGGGGGGAGGAUGAGCACCCCAACAGGACUGACAAACAGGCAACGAAGCGGAACGGAAAAAUGACUACGAGCGCAGUCUGUCCAUGCGGCAAGGUCUGCAAGAACCCGCGUGGUCUGAAGAUCCACCAGACCAAAAUGAGAUGCUUGACGGGGAAGCAGGUGGUGCAACGCACAGGUCCAGAACCUGGUGAGACGCAGGAGGUGCCCGGCCAGGAGUCAACCCACAGUGCCCAGACCCUCCACGCCCCACAAGUCCUACCUCGUUUCAAGCAUUCAGAACAUCGACGGGUCGUGUGGCCUGCAGCCAACAAAGAAAGAGAGUGGCUCCAAUUUGAUGAAGACGUGGACCGAGUCCUUGACGCUACUGCAAGGGGAGAUGCAGACCAGAGAUUGCUGUCAAUGUCGGCGAUGAUCAUCAACAUCGGUGCUGAAAGGUUCGGCAUAAAGGAACAACAGCCAACCAGACACCCAGGGGAGCCAACCAGAUGCCCAGGGGAGCCAAACAGACGGGAGGUAAAGAUCAGCCAGCUGCGGCAGGAACUUAAACUGCUUGGACGACAGUUUAAGGUGGCAAGGGAGGAAGAGAAGGCCGGGCUGGCAGAGCUCCGCAGCACAAUAAGGAAAAGGCUCAUCAUCCUCCGUCGAGCAGAGUGGCAUAGGAGAAGGGGUAGAGAGAGGGCCAGGAGAGUGCAGCCUUCAUCUCAAAUCCCUUUGGCUUCACCAAGAAAAUCCUCGGGCAGAAAAGAAGUGGCCACCUUGCCUGCACUGAAGACGAGGUUAACAAGUACCUCAAUACCACCUACAGCGAUAGUGCAAGAGAAGAAGAUCUUGGGCCAUGCAGAACCCUGAUAACUCCGCCAGAACCCACCUCGGCAUUUAACACCAAGGAGCCAACUUUGAGAGAAGUUGAGGAGGUUGUCAAGGCAGCUAGGUCCAAGUCAGCACCAGGCCCCAGUGGAGUGCCAUAUGUGGUCUACAAGAGAUGCCCCAGACUCUUGAAGCGACUAUGGUCAAUCCUCCGGGUCAUCUGGAGAAGGGGGAAGGUGGCCCAGCAGUGGAGACAUGCAGAGGGGGUCUGGAUUCCAAAGGAGGAGAGCUCAACCACCAUCGAGCAAUUCAGGAUCAUCUCACUCCUCAGCGUCGAGGGCAAGAUUUUCUUAAGCAUCGUUGCCCGGCGCUUGAUGGAGUUCCUCCUGAGGAACACUUACAUCGACACCUCUGUGCAGAAGGGAGGAGUCCCAAAGGUCCCAGGAUGCAUCGAGCAUACAGGAGUUGUCACCCAGCUGAUCCGGGAAGCAAGAGAAGGCAGAGGAGAUCUGGCAGUCCUUUGGCUCGACCUUGCCAAUGCCUACGGGUCCAUGCCACACAAGCUGGUGGAAAUCUCGCUCGACCGACACCAUGUUCCAGGCAAGAUCAAGGACCUCAUACUGGACUACUACAGCUGCUUCAGUUUGAGAGUCACUUCCGGAACAGUAACAUCUGCAUUCCAUCGGCUUGAGAAGGGCAUUAUCACAGGAUGCACCAUUUCUGUGGUACUGUUUUCCUUGGCCAUGAAUAUGCUGGUGAAGUCAGCAGAGGUGGAGUGCAGAGGACCACUCACCAACUCAGGUACGCGACAGCCCCCCAUCAGAGCAUUUAUGGAUGAUCUGACGGUGACUACAACAUCUGUCCCGGGCUGUAGAUGGAUCCUCCAAGGCCUGGAACAUCUCGUCAGCUGGGCCCGGAUGAACUUCAAGCCAGCCAAAUCCAGGUCCCUGGUGGUGAGAAAGGGGAAGGUCGCAGAGAAGUUUCGCUUCUCAAUAGGAGAUACCCUGAUUCCAUCUGUGGGUGAAAAGCCAGUUAAGAGCCUGGGCAAGAUCUACGACUGCACCUUGAAGGACACCACAGCACUCCAAGCAACAUCAGAGGAGUUGGGAACCUGGCUGACGGCAGUGGAUAAGUCGGGGCUACCAGGCAAGUUCAAAGCCUGGAUUUACCAACAUGGCAUCCUACCUCGACUUCUCUGGCCACUGCUUGUUUAUAAUGUGCCUGUGACCACCGUCGAGUGCUUCGAGAGGAAGGUCAGCUCUUUCUUGCGGAAGUGGCUGGGCCUACCACGAAGCCUCAGCAGCAUCGCAUUGUACGGGAAGAGCAACAAACUUAACCUACCCUUCAGCAGUCUGACGGAGGAGUUUAUGGUUACCCGUGCAAGAGAGGUGCUGCUGUAUAGGGACUCAAGUGACAUCAAAGUCUCCUCGGCAGGUGUAGAAGUGAGGACCGGCAGGAAGUGGUGUGCUCAAGAGGCAGUCGAUCAGGCUGAGUCCCGCUUGCGGCACAGUGAGCUGGUGGGAACGGUGGCAUCCGGACGGGCAGGACUUGGGAGCAACCCGAGACCUUCAUAUAACAAGGCCAAGGGGAAGGAAAGGCGUCAGCUGAUCCAGGAGGAGGUCCGAGCAGGGGUGGAGGAAGCCCGCUGCAGCAAGACAGUGGGGAUGCGGCAGCAGGGGGCGUGGACCCGUUGGGAGGAGGCAGCUGCCCGGAAGGUCUCGUGGUCAGAGCUAUGGCGCUCUGAGCCUCACCGGAUCAAGUUCCUCAUUCAGUCGGUCUACGACGUCCUCCCAAGCCCAUCCAACCUCCACCGCUGGGGCUUGGCUGAGAACCCACUGUGCCCUCUCUGCCAAAGAGCAGGAUCACUGGAACACAUCUUGAGCUGCUGCCCAAGAGCACUGGGAGAGGGGCGCUACCGCUGGCGCCAUGACCAAGUGCUACGGGUCAUUGCGGAGGCCAUCAACACAGGCAUCUCCACCAGCAAACACACACAACCAUCAAGGCAGACCAUCGCCUUCGUUAAGGCUGGGGAGAAGCCGCAGCAGCUCAGGAGGCAAGCAGGGGGGCUGCUGGCAACAGCCCGUGACUGGCAGCUGAAAGUCGACCUAGGGAGACAGCUCAAAUUCCCGGAGAACAUCGCAGUGACCACGCUCAGGCCAGACAUGGUCCUGGUGUCUGAAACAACAAGGCAAGUGGUCCUGCUGGAGUUGACUGUUCCCUGGGAAGACAUGAUGGAGGAGGCCUUUGAGAGAAAGAAAGCCAAGUAUGAGGAGCUGGCAAGUGAAUGCCGAAGCAGGGGAUGGAGGACCCGGUGCAACCCCAUCGAGGUCGGAUGCAGAGGAUUCGCUGGCCAGUCCCUCAUCAGGGCUCUCAAGAUGCUGGGAAUGGGGGGACUGCACAACAGGCGAGCCAUUAAGAACAUCUGUGACGCAGCAGAGAAGGCGUCCAGAUGGCUGUGGAUCAAGCGGGGUGAUCCGUGGACACAUGCUCUUAAGACACAAGCCGGGACUUGAUCACCCCGGCUGGGUCCCCUGGGCGAGGGUGUCUGUUGCAAGACCCGAAACACCCAGUGAACCCAGGUGCCAACACUGAUGAUGUGUCUUAAGUUGCACCAUAAGUGUAUUUCAGAACUGAACAUUGUUUGUUUUGGCGAGUUUGAAUGUUUUUGAGCAUGUGUAAUGGCAUGAAUGCGUUAAGCUGUUGUUUUAGUGUUCUUUUGAUGAGUUUGGCUUGUUGUUAUGAACAUUGUUCGUUUUGGCCAGUUUGAAGGUUUUUGAGCAUGUGUAAUGGCAUGAAUGCGUUAAGCUGUUGUUUUAGUGUUCUUUUGAUGAGUUUGGCUUGUUGUUAUGAACAUUGUUCGUUUUGGCCAGUUUGAAUGUUUCUUAGCAUGUGUAAUGGCAUGAAUGCGUUAAGCUGUUGUUUUAGUGUUCUUUUGAUGAGUUUGGCUUGUUGUUAUGAACAUUGUUCGUUUUGGCCAGUUUGAAGGUUUCUUAGCAUGUGUAAUGGCAUGAAUGCGUUAAGCUGUUGUUUUAGUGUUCUUUUGAUGAGUUUGGCUGGUUGUUAUGAAAAGUGUUUGUUUUGGCGAGUUUGAACGUUUUUGAGCAUGUGUAAUGGCAUGAAUGCGUUAAGCUGUUGUUUCAGUGUUUGUUUGAUGAGUUUGGCUUGUUGUUAUGAACAUUGUUCGUUUUGGCCAGUUUGAAGGUUUUUGAGCAUGUGUAAUGGCAUGAAUGCGUAAAGCUGUUGUUUUAGUGUUCUUUUGAUGAGUUUGGCUUGUUGUUAUAAAAAGUGUUUGUUUUGGCGAGUUUGAACGUUUUUUAGCAUGUGUAAUGGCAUGAAUGUGUCGAAUUAGUAAUCCCUUGUGUUAAGCCGUUGUUUUAGUGUUCUUUUGAUGAGUUUGGCUUGUUGUUAUGAAAAGUGUUUGUUUUGGCGAGUUUGAACGUUUUUGAGCAUGUGUAAUGGCAUGAAUGCUUUAAGCUGUUGUUUUAGUGUUGUUUUGAUGAGUUUGGCUGGUUGUUAUGAAAAGUGUUUGUUUUGGCGAGUUUGAACGUUUUUGAGCAUGUGUAAUGGCAUGAAUGCGUUAAGCUGUUGUUUCAGUGUUUGUUUGAUGAGUUUGGCUUGUUGUUAUGAACAUUGUUCGUUUUGGCCAGUUUGAAGGUUUUUGAGCAUGUGUAAUGGCAUGAAUGCGUAAAGCUGUUGUUUUAGUGUUCUUUUGAUGAGUUUGGCUUGUUGUUAUAAAAAGUGUUUGUUUUGGCGAGUUUGAACGUUUUUGAGCAUGUGUAAUGGCAUGAAUGUGUCGAAUUAGUAAUCCCUUGUGUUAAGCCGUUGUUUUAGUGUUCUUUUGAUGGGUUUGGCUUGUUGUUAUGAAAAGUGUUUGUUUUGGCGAGUUUGAACGUUUUUGAGCAUGUGUAAUGGCAUGAAUGCUUUAAGCUGUUGUUUUAGUGUUCUUUUGAUGAGUUUGGCUGGUUGUUAUGAAAAGUGUUUGUUUUGGCGAGUUUGAACGUUUUUGAGCAUGUGUAAUGGCAUGAAUGCGUUAAGCUGUUGUUUCAGUGUUUGUUUGAUGAGUUUGGCUUGUUGUUAUGAACAUUGUUCGUUUUGGCCAGUUUGAAGGUUUUUGAGCAUGUGUAAUGGCAUGAAUGCGUAAAGCUGUUGUUUUAGUGUUCUUUUGAUGAGUUUGGCUUGUUGUUAUAAAAAGUGUUUGUUUGGGCGAGUUUGAA